AGUGAACGCUGGCGGUAGGCCUAACACAUGCAAGUCGAACGGCAGCACAGGAGAGCUUGCUCUCUGGGUGGCGAGUGGCGGACGGGUGAGGAAUACAUCGGAAUCUACUCUGUCGUGGGGGAUAACGUAGGGAAACUUACGCUAAUACCGCAUACGACCUACGGGUGAAAGCAGGGGACCUUCGGGCCUUGCGCGAUUGAAUGAGCCGAUGUCGGAUUAGCUAGUUGGCGGGGUAAAGGCCCACCAAGGCGACGAUCCGUAGCUGGUCUGAGAGGAGGAUCAGCGACGCUGGAACUGAGAAACGGUCCAGACUCCUACGGGGGGCAGCAGUGGGGAAUAUUGGACAAUGGGCGCAAGCCUGAUCCAGCCAUACCGGGUGGGUGAAGAAGGCCUUCGGGUUGUAAAGCCCUUUUUUUGGGAAAGAAAUCCAGCUGGCUAAUACCCGGUUGGGAUGACGGUACCCAAAGAAUAAGCACCGGCUAACUUCGUGCCAGCCGCCGCGGUAA
rnacentral:rRNA from 1 species